AUUGAACGCUGGCGGCAGGCCUAACACAUGCAAGUCGAACGGUAACAUUUCUAGCUUGCUAGAAGAUGACGAGUGGCGGACGGGUGAGUAAUGCUUGGGAACUUGCCUUUGCGAGGGGGAUAACAGUUGGAAACGGCUGCUAAUACCGCAUAAUGUCUUCGGACCAAACGGGGCUUCGGCUCCGGCGCAAAGAGAGGCCCAAGUGAGAUUAGCUAGUUGGUAAGGUAACGGCUUACCAAGGCGACGAUCUCUAGCUGUUCUGAGAGGAAGAUCAGCCACACUGGGACUGAGACACGGCCCAGACUCCUACGGGAGGCAGCAGUGGGGAAUAUUGCACAAUGGGGGAAACCCUGAUACAGCCAUGCCGCGUGUGUGAAGAAGGCCUUCGGGUUGUAAAGCACUUUCAGUUGUGAGGAAAAGUUAGUAGUUAAUACCUGCUAGCCGUGACGUUAACAACAGAAGAAGCACCGGCUAACUCCGUGCCAGCAGCCGCGGUAAUACGGAGGGUGCGAGCGUUAAUCGGAAUUACUGGGCGUAAAGCGCACGCAGGCGGUUUGUUAAGCUAGAUGUGAAAGCCCCGGGCUCAACCUGGGAUGGUCAUUUAGAACUGGCAGACUAGAGUCUUGGAGAGGGGAGUGGAAUUCCAGGUGUAGCGGUGAAAUGCGUAGAUAUCUGGAGGAACAUCAGUGGCGAAGGCGACUCCCUGGCCAAAGACUGACGCUCAUGUGCGAAAGUGUGGGUAGCGAACAGGAUUAGAUACCCUGGUAGUCCACACCGUAAACGCUGUCUACUAGCUGUGUGUGUCUUUAAGACGUGCGUAGCGAAGCUAACGCGCUAAGUAGACCGCCUGGGGAGUACGGCCGCAAGGUUAAAACUCAAAUGAAUUGACGG
rnacentral:rRNA from 1 species